GAUCCUGGCUCAGGAUGAACGCUGGCGGCGUGCAUAACACAUUCAAGUCGAACGGCGAAGAGGACUUCGGUCCUCGGAGCAGUGGCGGACGGGUGAGUAACGCGUGAGCAACCUGCCUUUAAGAGGGGGAUAGCGACUGGAAACGGUCGGUAAUACCGCAUAAGACCACGACCUCACAUGAGGAAGUGAUCAAAGGAGCAAUCCGCUUAAAGAUGGGCUCGCGUCUGAUUAGAUAGUUGG
rnacentral:rRNA from 1 species